CUUCUGGAUACUAUCUCCUGAUCAUAAACAAGCUUCUGUCAAAGUUUCGUACAAUUCAAGGAUAGUUUAAGAAAGUUAUUAAAAUUUCAAAAACUUUAACCACAGAGUGAAUAUUUGUGGACGCCGCCGCCGACGACGACGCCGACGACGACGGAAUGUAGGAUCGCUAUGUCUCGCUUUUUCGACUAAAGUCGAAGGCUCGACAAAAAA
rnacentral:lncRNA from 1 species